GCGCUAUGUGUCUGUUCAUGCGUAAUUCACCUCUUUCAUAUUAUGUGCACCAACACUUAUGAUAUAUCAUUUUAUUCAGGGGAAACAGGACUUUCAUUUAACAUCAAAUAUUUAGAUAUGAAACAUAAUUUAAUAUGAAUAAAAUAUAAAAAAUGGGAGAAAAUAAGAUUUUUUUAAAAAUCUUUAGUUCCAAGUGACAUUCUAGCUGUGAAUGUCAUGAUAUACGGUUUGCUUUUACGGCAAAAAAAUACACAUUUGUUUUGAGCGAUGUCUCACAUGUAAAAC